GGACUCAUUCUUCGCUCUCCUGCUACAGUGUGAAGAAGGAUGUAUUUGCUUCCCCUUCUGCCAUGUUUGUAAGUUUCCUGAGGCUUCCCCAGCCCUUCAGAACUAUGGGGUAACACAUAGAAAAGGCACGGAGAAGUUAAGUGAUUUGCCUAUGGUCACAAAGCCUGUUAGCAGCAAACCCAGAACAAGAACCUAAGAUUUAUGGCUGCCAGUUCCAGCUGUUUUUCUUUGUCAUGUAUCCUCAGCAAUCAACAUAAUCAAAAUCUGUUUGGAGACUACUGAUUUGUAUAAAGGAAGAUAACACUGAACAACCAAACAGGAAGUAAUCCAGUGAAUCUGGAACAGCGGUGGAAUUUAGAAGCAAGGCCAGAUGAGGACCCUAAGACCUAGAGAAACUAAGUCAUUUGCUCAAGAAGACAAAGGUAAUCAUUAGAAAUCAACAUGAGAUUUCAGCUCUCCUGAUCCUUAGUACAACAUGUGAAAGAAGAUAUGUUGUCUUUACUCACAGUGGAGGCAUUUUUCUAGCUGUGUUUAAUUUGGCUUCCCUAUGGAUUCAGGACCCAUAACUCUUGUUCUCACUCAUCUGCUAUGCUGCUGAUAAGGACUUUCAGGUCAACAGCUGUAACUGCUAAAUGAAGUUAAUACUCUGGAAAAAAAAAAAAAAAAAAAAAACAGAAGGAACAGAGACCAAAAGAUUGAAAGCCAUUUGGAAAUUUCUUGAGUGGUGUCUGGCAGGUCUUUUAUGAAGAUUAUCAUAAACCAGGAAAAAAAAAAAACGCCUGCUGACUGUGUUAUCUGUAGUGCCUAUUGCCUAUUUUGGCUGAUUCAUUGAUGGUGUAACAGAUAACAGAAUGAAAGGAAAUGGUUUGGUUUCUAUAAAGGAAAAAGAAUGGUUUGUAUAAGGAAACCAUUAGUUUCCUGAGAUUGCUAUACCAAAUUAUCAAAACUUGGUGUCUUAAAACAAUAGAAAUUUUUUCUCCCACAGUUCUGGAGGCCAGAAACUCAAAAUCAGUAUUUGGCGGCUGAAAUCAAGGUUGUUGGCAGCACCCUCUGGAGGCUCUCGGACAGAAUCUGUCCCUUGUGUCUAACAGAUUCUGGUGGCUGCUGGCAUUCCUUGACUUGUGGUCGUAUCAUUCCCAUCUCCUCCUCCGUAGUCAUAUCGCUUUCUCCUCUUCUCUGGCAUUUGCAUCCCUUUUAUAAGACACGUAUGACUGCAUUUAGGGCUCACCAGGAUAAUGCAGGAUAAUCUUCCUAUUUCAGGAUCCUUUGCCACAUCUUCAAAGUCCUUUUUGGCCAAUAAAGUAAUAUUCACAGGCUCCAGGUUUUAGGAUGUGGGUAGUGGUGUUGGGGUAGGGGGCAGAUUUGGGGGUGAACAACCAGCCUACUACUGGUGGGUGACUGGUUAUCCAUCAUUCUUAAGUCAGAAAUGAUGACCCAAAAUCUCUUUUUGCUUUUGCUUCACUCAUUUUGCAUUUAAUUACUAGGCUCUGCUUCUUCAGACACUUUUAUUACAGUUUAGUUUUUGCUACAUCUCUCAAAAAUGUCUUAUUAUUUUCACGGCCUGUCAUUUAGUUAUGUUUUCUUCUAAGUGUUUGGCUGUCUUGGUCAGUGCUCUAAAGGAAUUAAAAUCACUUGGUCAGGGCUCUGAAGUAAUUGGUCAGUGCUCUGAAGUAAUUAAAAUCACUGUGAAGCUGAAUGAAACAUCAGAAGAAGAAUCAAGAGACCUAUGUUUUGCUUGUUAGGAGAACUGUGUAUCCUUUAUGUCUAUUUUUGGAGUUGGUGGUAAUUUCUGGUCAAGGAAUCAAAUGUUCUUAUUCCUAACCAUAUAGUCAGAUAAGAUGGCUAAGGUGCUUUCAUAAUCACCAUUGAUUCACUGUCAGAUGGGCCCGUGCUCUGUGACAACUUUUCAAUAUUAUAGACUUUACCAAAUAAAAAGGUAUCUCCUCAUUCUGUGCACAGAAAAAGAAAAUGAUGGAUGAGUAUAUUAGCCAGAACCCUGUCGCAGAAAAAUAAGCAUGAGUGUGCCCUUUCAUGCCUCCUGAGAACUCCUGUGCUAGACAGAGCCUGUUCAAGAUGUCUUUUCUGACUUUCUGAUUCCAGUUGACAUCUAGGCAUAUAAGGCAACUUUGUGAUGGGGCCAGAGAGCACCACACAUUGUUGUGUAUGAAAUACUCUGUUCAGCAAACAAGCCGUGCAGCAACAAGACCUAGUGUGGUCAAGGAUGGUGGACUAAAAACCACUAUGAGAGCAGAGAUGUAGCCACCUCUGAGACUGGUUUUCUAAGCAGGAUGACUUGGUUCCAUCCCUACAGGCAUCGUCUGGUCCAGUUCAGCACAGAGCUAGCUGCAAGUGACAACCUAAGAGAAAAGUCAGCGAGAACAAAGAUCCAUCUCUUUGUUGACUGCCUUAAUCCCUAGAGCUGUGUUCUUCAAUUUGUAACUACUUGCUACAAUUUUUCUGCCUAACAAGCAAGUUCUAUCCUGCCUAGGAGAGAAACUUUUAGUAAAUUCAUCUUCAUUCACUACUAUUCAGCUCAAGCUUUAAAAACUUAGAUAAUGCUGUCUGAAAUACUUAACUCCUGGUCAAAUGCAGCUGCUAUUUCAUUCAGUAUAAUCAAAGAAUAGCCAAGGACUUUAGUUAAUAUUUCUUCAGAUGAUAGAGAAUAAACAAAUUGUUUUGGAUAUAUCUACCAUGCCCUCCAAACAUGAUUGUUGAUAUCUUUUCUAUAUAAAUUACUUUCCUACAUAAAUGGUACUUAGCUUUUCCUUGAAAGAUAUUCUCUUCUCUCCAGCUCAAAGAUAACCCUCUUUCCCUCAAAUUAUAAGUAAUUUAUAUUUAAUAAUCUUUCAUACAAAUUUUUAAAAUUACAAAUGGUAAGGUACCACUAUUUUUUAUUUUGUAACAGCACAAACCAUCAAAUCAGAAAAAAAGAAAGGUUGAGUAUGAUCUCUGAAAAAUGAAUUCUAGUAGCAUGUAUAGCAAAAAUCAUCUUAGAAUGAAUAGAAGCCCUGAAUAACUCAAUGACCACCAGGCUUGUCUGCAUCCACGUUCUACUUGGUUAACUGUUAAAUAAUAUCUAACUUGUUGCAUUGUGAAAACAACAUGUGUCUGUAAACUGAAAAAUAGAUGUUAUUAUCCACCUGGUUUAGUUAUAAUGGAGAAAUAUCCUUCAGUUGCAUGAUGCUCUUCCUAUGAAUGAGGAAACCAGAUCAACAUUUCCGUUCAAGUUCUAGCUUGCCUAUAACAUUUCUUAGCUCCUUUUGCAAACCAAAAGUGGCAGCAGUUGUAACUGAAUUAGUCUAACUGCUCAGACACAUGCAUUUCUGUUUGGUUGCUCUGGUCUCUUCUUGAAGGCCAAGUGCUGUGAUCAUUUAUCAUCAUCAGAAUUGGCUGCCAUAACUCAGUGUUCCCGGGACCUGCAGUGGGCAGAGCACCAGCACAACCCGUAGAAAGCAGCUCCAAGAUCAGCACCCUCUCAUAAACCUACCGAGCCAGGAGCAUCUUCCAGGCCCUCCACUCUCAGGAGUUUCAAGGAGAAAACAAAAUGCUGAGGACUGGGAAUGAGAAGCUUCAACCUUGCACAAUCUCUACAUUUUGCUUUACUCCCAAGAGGGACGAAUGAAGAAUGUUGUUAUUGAUGCUACGACCACUUCUCUCCCAUAUUGUGCCCAGUAAACAUGGUCUUACUCAUUAUUGAAAUACUAGCAUUCUUCUAUAAUGGUUCGUACAUAGCUGCUGCCCAGAGCACUGAAUAACACAUACUACCAGGUGUCAAACCCAGAUUUCCCCAGUCUCUCCUUAAUUUCCAGCAAUAAAAAGAUUAGCCUGGC